UACGGAGGGUGCAAGCGUUGCUCGGAAUUAUUGGGCGUAAAGGGUAGGUAGGUGGUCUCAUUUGUCUGGGGUGAAAGCCUUGAGCUUAACUCAAGAAGUGCCUCAGAAACGGUGAGACUAGAGUCCUGGAGAGGGUCGUGGAAUUCCCGGUGUAGCGGUGAAAUGCGUAGAGAUCGGGAGGAACACCAGAGGCGAAGGCGGCGACCUGGACACGUAUUGACGCUGAGGUGCGAAAGCGUGGGGAGCAAACAGG
rnacentral:rRNA from 1 species